GACGAACGCUGGCGGCGUGCUUAACACAUGCAAGUCGAGCGGUAAGGCCCUUUCGGGGGUACACGAGCGGCGAACGGGUGAGUAACACGUGGGUGACCUGCCCUCAGCUCUGGGAUAAGCCUGGGAAACCGGGUCUAAUACUGGAUAUGACUCCAUGACGCAUGUUGUGGGGUGGAAAGCCUUGUGCGGCUGAGGAUGGGCCCGCGGCCUAUCAGCUUGUUGGGGGGUGAUGGCCUACCAAGGCGACGACGGGUAGCCGGCCUGAGAGGGCGACCGGCCACACGUGGGACUGAGACACGGCCAGACUCCUACGGGAGGCAGCAGGUGGGGAAUCUUGCGCAAGUGGGACGAAAGCCUGACGCAGCGACGCCGCGUGAGGAUGAC
rnacentral:rRNA from 1 species